rnacentral:rRNA from 1 species
GACGAACGCUGGCGGCGUGCUUAACACAUGCAAGUCGAACGGAAAGGCCCUGCUUUUGUGGGGUGCUCGAGUGGCGAACGGGUGAGUAACACGUGAGUAACCUGCCCUUGACUUUGGGAUAACUUCAGGAAACUGGGGCUAAUACCGGAUAGGAGCUCCUGCUGCAUGGUGGGGGUUGGAAAGUUUCGGCGGUUGGGGAUGGACUCGCGGCUUAUCAGCUUGUUGGUGGGGUAGUGGCUUACCAAGGCUUUGACGGGCAGCCGGCCUGAGAGGGUGACCGGCCACAUUGGGACUGAGAUACGGCCCAGACUCCUACUGGAGGCAGCAGUGGGGAAUAUUGCACAAUGGGCGGAAGCCUGAUGCAGCAACGCCGCGUGCGGGAUGACGGCCUUCGGGUUGUAAACCGCUUUCGCCUGUGACGAAGCGUGAGUGACGGUAAUGGGUAAAGAAGCACCGGCUAACUACGUG